rnacentral:rRNA from 1 species
AGUGAACGCUGGCGGUAGGCCUAACACAUGCAAGUCGAACGGCAGCACAGUAAGAGCUUGCUCUUACGGGUGGCGAGUGGCGGACGGGUGAGGAAUACAUCGGAAUCUACUUUUUCGUGGGGGAUAACGUAGGGAAACUUACGCUAAUACCGCAUACGACCUACGGGUGAAAGCAGGGGAUCUUCGGACCUUGCGCGGUUGAAUGAGCCGAUGUCGGCUUAGCUAGUUGGCGGGGUAAAGGCCCACCAAGGCGACGAUCCGUAUCUGGUCUGAGAGGAUGAUCAGCCACACUGGAACUGAGACACGGUCCAGACUCCUACGGGAGGCAGCAGUGGGGAAUAUUGGACAAUGGGCGCAAGCCUGAUCCAGCCAUACCGCGUGGGUGAAGAAGGCCUUCGGGUUGUAAAGCCCUUUUGUUGGGAAAGAAAAGCAGCAGGUUAAUACCCCGCUGUUCUGACGGUACCCAAAGAAUAAGCACCGGCUAACUUCGUG